rnacentral:rRNA from 1 species
CCUACGGGAGGCAGCAGUGAGGAAUAUUGGUCAAUGGACGAGAGUCUGAACCAGCCAAGUAGCGUGAAGGAUGACUGCCCUAUGGGUUGUAAACUUCUUUUAUAUGGGAAUAAAACGUUCCACGUGUGGGAUUUUGUAUGUACUAUAUGAAUAAGGAUCGGCUAACUCCGUGCCAGCAGCCGCGGUAAUACGGAGGAUCCGAGCGUUAUCCGGAUUUAUUGGGUUUAAAGGGAGCGUAGAUGGGUUGUUAAGUCAGUUGUGAAAGUUUGCGGCUCAACCGUAAAAUUGCAAUUGAUACUGGCAGUCUUGAGUACAGUAGAGGUAGGCGGAAUUCGUGGUGUAGCGGUGAAAUGCUUAGAUAUCACGAAGAACUCCGAUUGCGAAGGCAGUUCACUAAACCGCAACUGACACUGAGGCUCGAAAGUGUGGGUAUCAAACAGGAUUAGAUACCCCAGUAGUC